rnacentral:rRNA from 1 species
GUUAGGAAUCUUCCACAAUGGGGGCAACCCUGAUGGAGCAACACCGCGUGCUGGAUGAAGGCCUUCGGGUCGUAAACAGCUUUUGUAUACGAAGAAUAUGACGGUAAUAUACGAAUAAGGGUCGGCUAACUACGUGCCAGCAGCCGCGGUCAUACGUAGGACCCAAGCGUUAUCCGGAGUGACUGGGCGUAAAGAGUUGCGUAGGCGGCUUAUUAAGCGAGUAGUGAACUCUGGUGGCUCAACCAUCAACACAUUGCUCGAACUGAUAGGCUUGAGAAUGGUAGAGGUAGUUGGAAUUUCUUGUGUAGGAGUGAAAUCCGUAGAUAUAAGAAGGAACACCAAUGGCGUAGGCAGACUACUGGACCAUUUCUGACGCUGAGGCACGAAAGCGUGGGGAGCGAACCGGAUUAGAAACCCGGGUAGUCC